UGCAGGAAGACUGCCCUCUGGGUUGUAAACUGCUUUUAUCAGGGAAUAAACCCUUCUACGUGUAGGAGGCUGAAUGUACCUGAAGAAUAAGGAUCGGCUAACUCCGUGCCAGCAGCCGCGGUAAUACGGAGGAUCCGAGCGUUAUCCGGAUUUAUUGGGUUUAAAGGGUGCGUAGGCGGCUUUUUAAGUCAGGGGUGAAAGACGGUGGCUCAACCAUCGCAGUGCCUUUGAUACUGAAGAGCUUGAAUGUACUUGAGGUAGGCGGAAUGUGACAAGUAGCGGUGAAAUGCAUAGAUAUGUCACAGAACACCGAUUGCGAAGGCAGCUUACUAAAGUAUGAUUGGCGCUGAGGCACGAAAGCGUGGGUAUCAAACAGGAUUAGAUACCCUGGUAGUCCACGCCCUAAACGA
rnacentral:rRNA from 1 species